rnacentral:rRNA from 1 species
UACGGGGGGUGCGAGCGUUGUUCGGAAUCACUGGGCGUAAAGAGCGUGUAGGCGGCUGGUCAAGUCUGGUGUGAAAGCCCGGGGCUCACCCCCGGAAGUGCGCUGGAAACUGGUCAGCUAGAGUAUGGGAGAGGGAAGUGGAAUUCCUGGUGUAGCGGUGAAAUGCGUAGAUAUCAGGAGGAACACCGGCGGCGAAGGCGGCUUCCUGGACCAAUACUGACGCUGAGACGCGAAAGCGUGGGGAGCAAACAGGAUUAGAAACCCGUGUAGUCC